GAAAUGCGAUAAGUAAUGUGAAUUGCAGAAUUAAGUGAAUCAUCGAAUCUUUGAACGCACCUUGCGCUCCUUGGUAUUCCUUGGAGCAUGCCUGUUUGAGUAUCAUGAAAUCUUCAAAGUAAAUCUUUUGUUAACUCAAUUGGUUUCUACUUUGGUAUUGGAGGUCUUUGCAGCUUCACACCUGCUCCUCUUUGUUCAUUAGCUGGAUCUCAGUGUUAUGCUUGGUUCCACUCGGCGUGAUAAGUUAUCUAUCGCUGAGGACACUGUAAAAGGUUGCCAAGGUAAAUGCAGAUGAACCGCUUCUAAUAGUCCAUUGACUUGGACAAUACUUUUAUGAUCUGAUCUCAAAUCAGGUAGAACUACCCGCUGAACUUAAGC
rnacentral:misc_RNA from 1 species